UACGUAGGAUGCAAGCGUUGUUCGGAAUUACUGGGCGUAAAGAGUACGUAGGCGGUUUGUUAAGUCUGAUAUUAAAGACUGGGGCUCAACCUCAGGAAUGUAUCGGAAACUGGCAGACUAGAGGACAAUAGAGGAAGUCGGAAUUCUCAGUGUAGCGGUGAAAUGCGUAGAUAUUGGGAAGAACACCAGUGGCGAAAGCGGACUUCUGGGUUGUUACUGACGCUGAGGUACGAAAGCGUGGGGAGCAAACAGG
rnacentral:rRNA from 1 species